UACAGAGGGGGCAAGCGUUGUUCGGAAUUACUGGGCGUAAAGGGUGCGUAGGCGGCGCGGUAAGUCGGGUGUGAAAUCUCGGAGCUUAACUCCGAAACUGCAUUCGAUACUGCCGUGCUUGAGGACUGGAGAGGAGACUGGAAUUUACGGUGUAGCGGUGAAAUGCGUAGAUAUCGUAAGGAAGACCAGUGGCGAAGGCGGGGUCUCUGGACAGUUCCUGACGCUGAGGCACGAAGGCCAGGGGAGCAAACGGG
rnacentral:rRNA from 1 species